GCUUACGGCCAUACCAGCCUAAGAACACCCGGUCUUAUCUGAUCUCAGAAGCUAAGAAGGCUUGGCCCUGGUUAGUACUUGGAUGGGAGACGUCCUGGGAAUACCAGGUGCUGUAUGCU
ensembl:rRNA 5S_rRNA 5S ribosomal RNA